AUAAAAACACUAAAUGAGGAGUAACAAGUCUAGUCUUUGAGAGAGAAAUCGGUCGCUGUGAGAUUUCAGAUGAAACUUGUGAAGGUUGCAUUGUGGUCAGUUAAAUAAAAUUAAGUGUCUGCUUUAAAAAAGGCAGGAAUUUAGGUGGUACCGCGCGUGAGCGUCCUAUUU
rnacentral:ncRNA from 1 species